AAACCAUAAUAGGGACACUGUCUUUGUAAAUCCUUAAACCUCUCUUAUGCUUCAUAUAAAGACUCGUCAUCCUUUUGGAAAAAAGUGACAAUUUUAUUUUUCAAUUU